UGAGAGUAUAUUUUAAUUUUCAGCGANCCCAUGCCGAACUCAGAAGUGAAACGCCGUAGCGCCGAUGGUAGUGUGGGGUCUCCCCAUGCGAGAGUAGGACACUGCCAGGCA
rnacentral:rRNA from 1 species